ensembl:misc_RNA Metazoa_SRP Metazoan signal recognition particle RNA
GCCAGGCAUAGUGGUGCAUGCCUGUAGUCCCAGCUAUUUGGGAGGUUGAGGCAGGAGGAUUGCUUGUGCCUAGGAGUUUGAGGCUGCAGUGAACGAGGAUCAUGCCACUGCAAUCUAGCCUGAGUGACAGAGCAAGACCCUGCCUCUA